UCACGCUUUAUAAAUAUUCGAAAAUGUUUGCAAGAAAUCUAAAUUUUACAACUAAAUAUGCUUGAAGAACGACACUACGUGAAAGCGCGCGUGAAAUCUUGUUUCGAAGCAUCUGAGCGUCAUUGCGCGCCACCUUUGCGGAAAAAAUAUAAGUUGUGAAGUUGCAAACAUGUGACAUUAACUGUAGCAAAUUCACGUAAUAUAGCAAGAUAAAGGCGGACAUUCAGUGUGGAGAGAAAUUCUGACAAAUCAAUCGUAUAUUUAUUAUUUUUUUCAUCUUCCCUCCCUGCCUAUUCCCUGGAAAAGAACUGCAAAGGCCAAUAACAGGGAUAGCAGUGUCACGUAAAUCAGCCAGAGUCCUCUUAUCCUAGCUUGACGUGUGAGAACCAACGCAACGCGAGGCUGAGGGUUAUCGGAUCAGUAUCUAUAGCACUCACGGAGAGUACAGCUAAAUGUUAGAAAAAGGAAACUAGAUGCUAUCGCGCUUACAAUUAGGAAAUUUCCUGCAUCUAGAAUUCUAUACUAUUAUCAUGAA